rnacentral:misc_RNA from 1 species
AAAGCACUCCAUAUUCCUCUCUUUUCCCCCAUUCAUUUUCCAUCCAUUUCUCGUCUACGAACAACACAAAGUAGUUUUUGAACUGAUAAAUGGGACAGAUCCAGUAUUCUGAGAAGUAUUUUGAUGAUACCUAUGAGUACAGGCAUGUUGUUCUUCCUCCUGAUGUAGCGAAAUUGCUUCCUAAGAAUCGUCUUCUAUCUGAAAAUGAGUGGAGGGCAAUUGGAGUUCAGCAGAGCAGAGGAUGGGUUCACUAUGCUAUUCAUCGACCAGAGCCCCAUAUCAUGCUCUUCAGGAGGCCACUGAACUAUCAGCAGCAACAAGAGAACCAGACUCAGCAAGUUCUGCUUGCCAAGUGAAGAAACAUGUCUCUCGUUUCAUUUUUCCUAAUGAAUCAGGUCAUAUACAGAUAGUAAUGUUCAUUUCAUCUAGAAAUGAUAAGACAGUUUUAUGGAUGUCUAGUUAAAUGUCUGGAUUCUUAAGGAUGUUAUGUACUGUAAUGCUUAGCUCUUGUGGAGUUUAGGUUUUGAAUUCCCGUAUUUUUAACAAUCAGAUUUUAUAUCCGUGUGCUUGGAUGGAUUCUGACCUGUACUUUGGCAUCCUACAUUUUGGAUCUGUUUGGUUUAGUCAUG